rnacentral:misc_RNA from 1 species
GAUGAAGAACGCAGCGAAAUGCGAUACGUAAUGUGAAUCGCAGAAUUCAGUGAAUCAUCGAAUCUUUGAACGCAUAUUGCGCUCUCUGGUAUUCCGGAGAGCAUGCUUGUUUGAGUAUCAGUAAACACCUCAACUUCCAUAUCUUUUUUGAAAUGGGAGUUGGACUUGAGUGAUCCCAACGCUUUUCCUCACCGAAAAGUGGCGGGUUACUUGAAAUGCAGGUGCAGCUGGACUUUUCUCUGAGCUAUAAGCAUAUCUAUUUAGUCUGCCUAAAAAACAGAUUAUUACCUUUGCUGCAGCUAACAUAAAGGAGAUUAGUUCUUGUGCUGACUGAUGCAGGAUUCACAAAGACAGCUUCGGCCGACUUUGUAAACUCGAUCUCAAAUCAAGUAAGACUACCCGCUGAACUUAAGCAUAUCAAUAAGCGGAGGA